rnacentral:tRNA from 1 species
UGCACGGAGUGGGAUUUGAACCCACGCACCCAUACGAGUACCAGAAUGCCCAACACCGCUAUCUCACGGCAAGUCUUCGCUUGAGUCUGGCGCCUUAGACCACUCGGCCAUCCGUGC